rnacentral:lncRNA from 1 species
GUUAUUCUCAUUUAAACAAAAGCAAAUGACCAAGAACCAUCUCUUGAGCUUGAGGGGAUUGAGGGAUUUGAAGCAAACCCAGAUCUCAUGUAGGAAUGUCUUGUUGGGCUCUUUCCCCUUAACAUAUAUGACUAAUUAUAAGUGAGAUUUGGAGUUAGGGCUGGUAACAAGAGGUAUAAGCAGACUACGUGCCCAAUUGUUAACUAAGUUUAAGUCAUAGAUGGUACACUGAAGUGGAAGAGUCCCUAGAAACUACCUACCUACCAGUUAGAUGAGUAUCUUCUACUAAUAAUUUUAUUCUAUUACAAUCGCUGACUCUAUUGUUUUGCUUUUGCAUCAUUUGGCUUCCCAUUUUUCCAUAUUCAGAAUAAAAUUUACUUCUGAAAGUCCUAGCUAUCCCUACUACCU